rnacentral:rRNA from 1 species
GGAUGACGCCCACGUCGGAUUAGCUAGUUGGCGGGUAAAGGCCCACCAAGGCGACGAUCCGUAGCUGGUCUGAGAGGAUGAUCAGCCACACUGGAACUGAGACACGGUCCAGACUCCUACGGGAGGCAGCAGUAGGGAAUAUUGGACAAUGGGCGCAAGCCUGAUCCAGCCAUGCCGCGUGAGUGAAGAAAGCCCUCGGGUUGUAAAGCUCUUUUGUCCGGAAAGAAAAGCGCCGGGUUAAUACCCUGGUGUCCUGACGGUACCGGAAGAAUAAGCACCGGCUAACUUCGUG